rnacentral:rRNA from 1 species
UACGGAGGGUGCAAGCGUUAUCCGGAUUCACUGGGUUUAAAGGGUGCGUAGGUGGGCAGGUAAGUCAGUGGUGAAAUCUCCGAGCUUAACUCGGAAACUGCCGUUGAUACUAUUUGUCUUGAAUAUCGUGGAGGUGAGCGGAAUAUGUCAUGUAGCGGUGAAAUGCUUAGAUAUGACAUAGAACAUCAAUUGCGAAGGCAGCUCGCUACACGGUUAUUGACACUGAGGCACGAAAGCGUGGGGAUCAAACAGG